rnacentral:misc_RNA from 1 species
AAGUCGUAACAAGGUUUCCGUAGGUGAACCUGCGGAAGGAUCAUUAACAAAUAUGUAAAACAUCCAUCCAUCCAUCCCACAAGGAUAUGGAUAUGUUAUUACCACAACACACACACACACAUUGUGCACACAACAAACACUGUUAUGCUUUGGUAGGGUAGGGGGAGAAAUGGCGGGCACUCUCGGGUGCCAGUCUUUCGAUCUGCCAGAGUUUUUUGUAUACUACAAAACGCACCCACACACACGAAUGUCUUAAUAUUAUCUGACUGAACUUGAUUUAAACAAAAUGAGAAUACAACUUUUAACAAUGGAUCUCUUGGCUCUU